rnacentral:misc_RNA from 1 species
AAGUCGUAACAAGGUUUCCGUAGGUGAACCUGCGGAAGGAUCAUUACUGGGUCUGGGCCUCGCGCCCGCAACCCGCCCUCUGUCAUGAGACGCGCAAGCAACUCACAUCGCUUCGGCCCCGGGCGAUACCCGCUGUUCGCUCAGCGGGGGUACCCCGCGGCCGGUCACAAACCCGAACGUACCAUGAAGUCUGAACAAAUGAUAAACGAAAAGCAAAACUUUCAACAACGGAUCUCUUGGUUCUG